rnacentral:rRNA from 1 species
GGGGAAUAUUGCACAAUGGGCGAAAGCCUGAUGCAGCAACGCCGCGUGAGUGAUGGAGGUCUUCGGAUUGUAAAGCUCUGUCUUUUGGGACGAUAAUGACGGUACCAAAGGAGGAAGCCACGGCUAACUACGUACCAGCAGCCGCGGUAAUACGUAGGUGGCAAGCGUUGUCCGGAUUUACUGGGCGUAAAGGGUGCGUAGGUGGAUAUUUAAGUCAGAUGUGAAACCCCUGGGCUCAACUCAGGGACUGCAUUUGAAACUGGAUAUCUUGAGUGCGGGAGAGGUAAGUGGAAUUCCUAGUGUAGCGGUGAAAUGCGUAGAGAUUAGGAAGAACACCAGUGGCGAAGGCGACUUACUGGACCGUAACUGACACUGAGGCACGAAAGCGUGGGUAGCAAAC